AAUCCUAUCCUCCCCUCAGUCACGUACCAGUCGUCGCACAAAUCCUAGCCCCCAUUCCCCUCGAUCCCCACAGUCUCUCCGCUCCCGUCACCACGUCCUCCGCCAUGGAGCCUCGCCGCCACGUGCGUCUCCCUUCUCCACCAUGCUGCCCUUCCACCUCGCCUUCCUCCUCUUCUUUGUCUAUGCGGCCAUCGGUGGCGGCUGGUUCCAAAUCGGGCGCGGAUUAGCCGAGCCCGGUGGUGAGGUGAAGGAGAAGGGUGGGCGGCCCGUCGCGAUGGGAUGGGGCUAGGGAAGAGGGAGGAGGCCGAAGGGUGAAGGAGCAGGCCGGCCCUCACGGUCACAUAGGCGCCGCCGCUGUCCAGGGUCGUUCGCCGUCACCGGCCUCACUCGCCUCGUCUCCUAUCUCUUCACCACUGCAUCCAUGUGAAUUUUUGGAGAAUGGUGCUCCGAUUUGGUCCCCAUGGUAGUAUCUUCCCUGAGUCUUCCUUCUUUGAUUUCUAACUUUAUGCUUUGAUCUGUUGUAUUGACAUAAAUUGUGAGGUCUACUGUUACACCAUGGUAUGUGUAGUGCUAACGGUUUCCUGCUGGGCAGCUGCAGGCCUGCAACCUUUAUAGAGGAGGAUUGCAGGUGUCGAUACAAUGGAGCAAUUUCUGGCUUUGUUGUUGGAGCAUAGCCUCGAUUAUGCAUGAUUUUGGGGAAAGUUCCUGGUGGUCCUAUCUCGGAUCAGUUCCUUUGCUUUCCUGCUAACCUUCUUUUCCUUCUUCAUCAGGUUUUGCUCUCUCCCUGUGUGCUACACAUUUCUGCUCUCCCCAGUAGCAAUUGGAUGUUAAUCUGCUAUGGGAAGCGGUGGUGCAUCAAGGUGCAAGGCAGCAACGACAUGUUCAUAGUACGCUAAAGGAUGAACUCCUACUUUUUCUGAUGCUAGCUCCUUGCUGCAGAUAUACCAGCCUGCUUACAUCUCCCAAGAUAUCCUCUUGGUCAAGGCAAUUGCACAUGAUGAAGCCACUCAUUUUAGUUGUAGGAUAUGAAUUGUGCUUAAACAUGAGUGCUCGCUCGCCGAACGUUGGCCCUCGGAUGAAUUCGACGCUUGAAUUGAGCUGACGAGCCCCAUGGGUGGAGCUGCAGGGGGUGAGAGGCGGAUAACAAUACGAGAAGGAGCAUGCCAUCGAGGAGUGCAAGCAGCGGCACUCCUCCGCAAUGGGGUAUGGCUGCAGGAUAGGGGACGUGGCCAACGACAGGAAGAAGGAGCAGGUCGUCGAGGACUACAAGCAGCAUGUUUCCUUUGACUGGAAGUCUGAAACUGAAGAUAGGGCAUAUUGUUUUGGUUCUGAGUGGCCGGAGAUAUUGUGGCUUGAUGUACCUAGAGCAGUCGGACCCUUCCAAGAUAGAAGAUCUUUGGGAUUGACGUUCUGAUGAGAAAGUAGCAUACGGAUGGAUGGACAUGAACUAUUCAGUGGUCGAACUGUGCUAUAUUUCUUUCAUUGAGGCGAGAGUGAUUCCAGUAGAUUUUGCUUGGCGUACUCGCCUUUUUUAUUAAAGUUGGGUGUCCGUCUUCUCUGCGGCAAGGAUCUGGGGAGUCAGAUUGUGGAUUACAUGUAGUGGGGAAGUAGAGAGGGGGACGAGGAAGAGGACACCGUUGGUGGCGUGCUAUAUCUCACUAGGCGACAAUGUCGAGAGGGUGCCUGGCAUCAAGAACCCGACAUGCUUUUCCGAGUGUUCGUUGAGGAAAUGACUUUAUUUAUUGGAAAAUGGCAAUAUCAUUUACAAGUACACAUGAAACAAACUAUUUUUCCUACACCUCUUUGUUCUGUGUGAUGGUGCUCUUGGUUGAGUGUGCUGACGAAAGAGAUUCCAUGCUACAAGCUAGAUCUAUGCUGUCGCGGCAACACAGGCCAAUACACAUUCAGGAAAUAUGUCACCAACUUCCCCAAGGUCCCGCAUCGUCUACUCAGGAUAUUCUUUGCCCCAAGCCCUACAGAAUAAUGCCCAGUCUAAUUUCAGCAGUGGGCAUGACAGCCUCAAACUUCUCUCUUCAAUAUUGAAGAAGCGGCUUACUCAGAUCAAUGGGCAUGCACUUAGAAAAAUAGCUAAAGAGUACGAGAUAUUCCUAGAGUAAAUAAAGGGCAUGCUGUGCUCAUAAGUUAGCAGAAGCAAAAUGCUAUUUAUUAUGCUCCUGUUGUAUCCUCGGACAUUUUCUUCCACCUACCAAUACCCCAGUAUUGAAUAUCUACUUUCCCAGCGUCGUACAGAAACUGAUGUUAGUAUUUGUGCA